rnacentral:rRNA from 1 species
CUACUCGGGUAUCUAAUCCUGUUUGCUCCCCACGCUUUCGUGCAUGAGCGUCAGUAUUGACCCAGGGGGCUGCCUUCGCCAUCGGUAUUCCUCCACAUCUCUACGCAUCUCACUGCUACACGUGGAAUUCUACCCCCCUCUGCCAUACUCGAGCGAUGCAGUCACCAAUGCAGUUCCCAGGUUAAGCCCGGGGAUUUCACAUCGGUCUUACAUCACCGCCUGCGCACGCUUUACGCCCAGUAAUUCCGAUUAACGCUCGCACCCUACGUAUUACCGCGGCUGCUGGCAC